ensembl:lncRNA
GCCUGAGUGAACACAGCUGCACCGUGAUGCAUCCAGUUUCAAGACUCUCUUUUUGCUCUCUCUUGAUUGAGGCCCUUCUGGACCAACUCAAUGCCGGGCCUGAUGUCAUGUACCUCCUCUUGGAAUUUUUUGGAGAGGGGUCUCCGGGCCUGGCUGGCCCCACUUCAGACAUUGCUCUACUUUUUUGCUCCGCUGAGGAUGUCUCUCUGCUUCUUUGCUCCUCUGGGGAUGUUCCUCUGCCCCAUUGCCACAAGUGAUGCCACUACACUCUCCCUGCUCUGCCUCAGUCUUCAAUAUGCCAUGCAGAUCCACUGAGGAUACCUCUGCUGAGGACAUUUUGCCUCCUAUAUGUAAUCCUUGUUCCACUGAGGAUGUCACUCUGUCUCCUUGCUCCACUGAGGAUUUGGGGCGGUUGGGGGGUGCUGUCAUGAUAGUGUCAAAGGGAUGUUGAACUACAUUACUCCUCAGCCCCAGCACAUCACAUGACCAUGUCACAUGUCUCACUGAUCACUCACACCUGUUCUGUGUUACUCCUUAUAAGCACCCCUAUUUAAGUUCUGGUAUCUGGGUGUUCCUUUGUCAAUCUUUUGUCAUUUUGUAUUAGUUUUUAGUGGUGUGUACCCCAGUAUCACUCAUAGCUGUAUGUUCUUUGCUUUGUAUGCUCUAUACAUGCUUCUUGUCCUUAUUGUCAUGUCAUUGGUUUUGCUAGCACCUUCUUUUAAUAAACUUUAACUGCA